rnacentral:misc_RNA from 1 species
GCACUCGAGGAGUGAAUGCAGCUAGCACGCAGUUCAGCGCGAUAGUUUCGUAUUUGUUGGUUUUAUCGACAUUUUGCAUUGUUUACCUUGUGAAAAGGUGAUACGAUGUAUCCACACUGUUUUAAGACUUUCCAAGUGAGAUUAACAUUGCAAUAAUCUGCAAGUUUUCUAUUCAAAGCAGAUCCAUGAACGCGCGGAUUACCACGUUUGUCUUCUGCAGAAAUAUUUAUGGAAAAAAGUGCAGUGUUCUGGUUAGUGAUUACCGGGUAUUCAGUCAUAAUUGCAAUUGUGUAUCUUUGUAAUGGUGAAAUGGACGCCUGCUACGAAAUCAAAGAUUCGCAGUUUAUUGACAUUCCAAAUACAAUUGAUUCCAAGGUCAGAAUCAAUGGAUGACGAGUUCGACAGGAGUGGUUAAUAUUUAAAAGAAUGUGUAUUCAACAUUAAGCUUAUUAAUAACUACAAAAACUUUCCUUUCCGAGUUUUAAAGGGCAGACAUUUUCCUCUAAAAGGAAGCGAAAUUAAAAAAUCCAUUGGACGCAUGUCUCCAACCAUACCAUGUAAUAUUCAUGUUCUUCUAGAAUUCCAUCAUUGUUAUUUAUGUCUUUGUAUAAAAUAUUAACAUGUACAUGUAGUCAACUCAUUUUUAAAAAUAAUGCAUUGUGUUCAUCGUACCAUGAUUCUAUGCGACAUGUCUUCCUCUAUUAAUGUUUUGUCCUCUAAUAGACGACUAAGAUAAAAGUAUUUUGAUAGAUAUUCUGAGAACAACCUUAGAUAUUUUCCCCAAACUGAGAACGAUAUUAAGUUUCCAAACGUAUGAGAGGACAAACAAAUAAUCUUUUAAAAAUAGCAUUUGUUAUUUUUUCUUAAUGAAUUUAAAUUUUGAGAUUUUUGUUUUGUUAUUUUUGCAAAACCCUCCUAAUCAGCUUAAUUAUGGGAACAUGAAUCUCAAACCCCGCCAGAAUAGUCGUUUUAAUGCAUUAAGUUCUCAAGAACCAUGUUUGAGGAAUUGACGUUGUGUUUAUAUGUUAAACUUGUUUAAGUCGCUGUUGAUAUAAAAUGUAUAGUGGAGGUUGAAUAUUGAAGUGGAGUUUGUAUAUUGAUGUCUUUAUGUUUAUAAUAAAACCAUGAAUGCGAAAUAAAACUAUGUUACAUGAC